GUGGGGAAUAUUGGACAAUGGGGGGAACCCUGAUCCAGCCAUGCCGCGUGUGUGAAGAAGGCCUUUUGGUUGUAAAGCACUUUAAGCGAGGAGGAGGCUACCGAGAUUAAUACUCUUGGAUAGUGGACGUUACUCGCAGAAUAAGCACCGGCUAACUCUGUGCCAGCAGCCGCGGUAAUACAGAGGGUGCGAGCGUUAAUCGGAUUUACUGGGCGUAAAGCGUGCGUAGGCGGCUUUUUAAGUCGGAUGUGAAAUCCCUGAGCUUAACUUAGGAAUUGCAGUCGAUACUGGAAAGCUAGAGUAUGGGAGAGGAUGGUAGAAUUCCAGGUGUAGCGGUGAAAUGCGUAGAGAUCUGGAGGAAUACCGAUGGCGAAGGCAGCCAUCUGGCCUAAUACUGACGCUGAGGUACGAAAGCAUGGGGAGCAAACAGGAUUAGAUACCCCAGUAGUCC
rnacentral:rRNA from 1 species